GACGAACGCUGGCGGCGGGCUUAACACAUGCAAGUCGAACGGAAAGGCCCUGCUUUUGUGGGGUGCUCGAGUGGCGAACGGGUGAGUAACACGUGAGUAACCUGCCCUUGACUUUGGGAUAACUUCAGGAAACUGGGGCUAAUACCGGAUAGGAGCUCCUGCGGCAUGGUGGGGGUUGGAAAGUUUCGGCGGUUGGGGAUGGACUCGCGGCUUAUCAGCUUGUUGGUGGGGUAGUGGCUUACCAAGGCUUUGACGGGUAGCCGGCCUGAGAGGGUGACCGGCCACCUUGGGACUGAGAUACGGCCCAGACUCCUACGGGAGGCAGCAGUGGGGAAUAUUGCCCAAUGCGCGGAAGCCUGAUGCAGCAACGCCGCGUGCGGGAUGACGGCCUUCGGGUUGUAAACCGCUUUCGCCUGUGACGAAGCGUGAGUGACGGUAAUGGGUAAAGAAGCACCGGCUAACUACGUG
rnacentral:rRNA from 1 species